GUCUUUUUGAUUAUAAUUUAAAGUCUAACCUGCCCACUGAAUAUUUUGAAGGGCCGCGGUAUUUUGACUGUGCAAAGGUAGCAUAAUCAUUAGUCUUUUAAUUGGAGGCUUGUAUGAAUGGUUGGAUGAGGUAUUAACUGUCUCAACUUAAUAAAUAAUAGAAUUUUAUUUUUAAGUUAAAAAGCUUAAAUUUAAUUAAAAGACGAGAAGACCCUAUAGAUCUUUAUAAUUUAUUUUAUAAUAAUUUUUUAGAUAAAAUUUAUUUUUAUAAAAUUAAUUAUUUUAUUGGGGUGAUAAAAAAAUUUAUAAAACUUUUUUUGUGUAUAAACAAUGAUAUUUGAUUGAUUGAUCCAUUUAUUGUGAUUAUAAGAUUAAGUUACCUUAGGGAUAACAGCGUAAUUUUUUUGGAGAGUUCUAAUCGAUAAAAAAGAUUGCGACCUCGAUGUUGAAUUAAAGGUUAAUUUUAGGUGUAGAAGUUUAAAAUUUUGGUCUGUUCGACCAUUAAAUC
rnacentral:rRNA from 1 species